AUGAUGUAGAGUUUUAAAAUGACAAGAAUUUGUAUUCAGAUUAACCUUAGUUAAUGGAAUUGACAAAUGACGCUUAUUUUGUGAGGAAUUCAAGUCGGGAAUUUAAGCUCCUAAAUUUCACGAUUAUUUUCCCGUGAAAAUUGCUAAUUCCACGGGAUAAGUAUCCAAACGAGAGAAACCGUUCUAAGAAAUUGAGAAUUCAUUAUGUUUGAUUAAAUUCUUAGGAAUUCACCCACAUCCAAACACACCGUAAAUGUAUACACCGCGCCAAGGCUCGGGUAUAAUUCUAGUUACUUUACUAUAUAUCUAUUUUUCGUCGAGUCGGUUACUGUUUACUUUUUACAGUAUUUUACUGUUCACAUUCUACAGUGUUGGGUUUGGGCCUCAGGGUUUUGGGCAUGGCUAUAAAAGGCUUUCUUUUUUUGUGCCGCAUCAUUCUUCUCGAUCUUUCAUGUUCUGUCUCACUCUGUCCGAUACAAACUCAGAAAAAGGUCUCCCUUCUUGCCAGCUGCUCUCUUUCUCUCUCUCUUCUUCAUCGCCCAAUCUCUGCAAUUGUCAGCAAAAUCCGAUCCAAUUCAUAUCGAUUGGUUGAAAGGUAUGGAAGGAAACUGCUACUAAAACUCGAAGCUUCCUCCGCAGAUCGGAAAUAGCAUUAGCUCGGUGAGAUUUUGUGGCAACUUUCAUGCAUGAAUCUGUAUAUUCGUAUUGAUAUUUCAUAAUGAUUACGUUCUUAUAGAAACAGUACAGAAAUAUGUUUGUAUUCUCAUGUAUCCCAAAUUGAGUCUAUUCUAUCUAUUUAUGGAGUCCACCACCUCCAUUACCUCCAGUCAGGUAUGGCGACCCUUCUCCUCUAUGCGCAAGGGCGAGCUCAGCUUCUCUUAUAAGUUCGGGGACCGGUAAAGUCCUAUUCAGUUUACCCAGUUCAGGCGGUGUAGUGAAAAGGGGAAAAGAAGAAGUCUGGCAGUCGGUGUUGUUUUUGAUCCGGGAAUGGAAGGAUAGAAUGGAUUUUUAUUUAUUUUUAAUUAUUAAAUAGAAUGGAUUUUGUUGGUUUUGUGUAGAUGAACUUGACCAACUGUUCAGGUCUCAAAUUAGGGGUGAGUUGCUGGCUGUGCGGAUCAUGUUAUUGGUAAUGCAUGUAUAUAGGAACUUGAUGUGUAUCAAAUUAGGGUCACGCCAAUUGAGUUUUUCCUCCUGCAACUGAAGUUCUGAACAGUCCAAAUCGUUGAUUAGGAAGUAAAAUUCCUUCAUUGACUUACAAGGGAAUCAUAGUNNNNNNNNNNNNNNNNNNNNCCGAGCCCAACCCAUUCUUCUUCUUUCUUUUUCUCUCUCCCUCCCGAUUCUCUCUCUCUUCUCACCCGGUUUUCCCCUCUCUACACCCAGAAAAGUUUCCGGCCGCCGUCCAGCCUCCGUUCGCCGCCGGACCGGUCCCGUUCGGUCGGUCUCCCUCCCAGCAACAUUUCUAGACCGGUGGAAGCCUCCCUAGCGCCGUCGUGAGGGAGAAACGCCGCCCGAAAGCUCCGACUGCCGAAUCGGUUUUCUCGCCGGAACUUCCUCCUCCGGCCACCAAUCCGGGCAAGCUUGGUACGGUUUUGUAGCCCUCCUCCCGUGCAACAACCCCUCCAAGCAGCUCUCUCCCUCUUGAGCUAGGUAAGGAGAAAUGUGGAGUUGAAAUUUCUAGGCUUUUAAGUUAUUUUCGUUCGAUUAGCCUAGUUAGGCUUGGAAUUGGGUGAUGUGUUGGUCAUGAAAGUUGUAGAGCAUGUUGAGGAGAUUAUUCUGUCAAAAUUUCAUAGGUUUUAGAGAUCGCCGGAAAACGGCUGCCGGCGGCGCCGCCGCCGGUUAGGAGAUUUUUAGGGUUUUAAAUGUGGAAUAUUAAGAGGAGUAUAUUGGUGUGAUUUAUGGAAUUUUUGGAUGAGAUUUGGAUAGGUUUGUGAAUUUCCGAAGUUAGGUAUUUUUGGCGGUUAAUUAAUGUAGAAUCCGGCCGUAGGAUUUAAGUCGUAUUUUAGAGAGGUUGUAUUUACGGCUGUUGAGUAUGAUAUUUAAGUUCGGAUCGUUCCGAUUUAAGAAUAUCGAAGUUAGGCAAUGAUGAGCGUAUUUAUGGCUCUCGGGUAAUUUUGCCUAUUUUGAUUAAAUAUGGGAUUAUUGGUUGGGAAAUUAAUAUUUUAUUUGGAACAGGACGUGAGGAGACUCGAGCAGACGAGACCCCAGAUCGACAGCAGGCUUAGGCCUAAUUUGUGAGUGGACGUUUAUUUUAAAUAAAUGCAUGCUAAAGUUCACGAUUGAAUAAUUAAUGUCGUGGAGUAUUUUGACGUCAUUUUAAUUUUUUGACGAUUUUUAUUUCUCGUGGAGAGAUACCGAAAAUGGGAUUUUCGGUGGAUAUAAAUAUGUAUUUAUGAGAGAGUAUGUAUAUAAAAUGCUAGCUAGCCAUAUGUGUCUGUCCACCUUAAUGGCGUAGCAUAUAACCGCAUUAUGGUGUGACGUGAGCGUUGGACGUAAGCGUAGUAGCCCUAUUUGAGUGUUUAAUUCAUAUAGGGGGUAUGGACACAUAUUUAUACACCNNNNNNNNNNNNNNNNNNNNNNNNNNNNNNNNNNNNNNNNNNNNNNNNNNNNNNNNNNNNNNNNNNNNNNNNNNNNNNNNNNNNNNNNNNNNNNNNNNNNNNNNNNNNNNNNNNNNNNNNNNNNNNNNNNNNNNNNNNNNNNNNNNNNNNNNNNNNNNNNNNNNNNNNNNNNNNNNNNNNNNNNNNNNNNNNNNNNNNNNNNNNNNNNNNNNNNNNNNNNNNNNNNNNNNNNNNNNNNNNNNNNNNNNNNNNNNNNNNNNNNNNNNNNNNNNNNNNNNNNNNNNNNNNNNNNNNNNNNNNNNNNNNNNNNNNNNNNNNNNNNNNNNNNNNNNNNNNNNNNNNNNNNNNNNNNNNNNNNNNNNNNNNNNNNNNNNNNNNNNNGUUGCUGGCUGUGCGGAUCAUGUUAUUGGUAAUGCAUGUAUAUAGGAACUUGAUGUGUAUCAAAUUAGGGUCACGCCAAUUGAGUUUUUCCUCCUGCAACUGAAGUUCUGAACAGUCCAAAUCGUUGAUUAGGAAGUAAAAUUCCUUCAUUGACUUACAAGGGAAUCAUAGUUGUAGAGCAAAAGUGCUAAUCAAGUUAGUUUGAGCCGUGUGAAUUGCAUCUGUUUUUGUUCCUUCUCUUUUUUCUACGAUAUAUGUUUUGGUUUAUGGGAAAGAAUUGAUUUUCUUUACAUUGAGUUUCAUUGCAAACCUAUUUGAAAUGGGGGUUGUGCGGUGCAUGCUGCUUUUGUCCAGUGAAAAUGAAUUUGAUCAGUUUCCUGGAUUUUAUUUUAUUUUGAAGAAUCCGGCCGUUGAUUUCAACUUUAUGUGUCCAGGUGCAGCCUUCCAUGACUAUUUGUUGACAAAGACGAACAUAAGGCAUCCUUAAGCAGUUGUUCAAAUUGCAGACUAACGUUAUAUUUGGAGAUAAUUUCACUUUACUACCCUGAAGUUUAGGUCUAAAAUCAGUUUGAUAUCUCAUCUUUUUUUAAAUCAGUUUGAUACCUAAACUUUCAAAAUGACAUUAAUCUCGACUAAAAUGACUAAAAUAGCCCUGGUUAAUCUUUUUACCCUCUUAGGCUUAAGAAUGGCAGCGGCGACGACCGGGGGAGGAGGAGGGGCUGCCGCCGGGGCCCAUUGCUGGUGGUAGGGGUGGAUGCCGGCGCCGGCCAUGUGGUGGAUUUAGAGGCAGGGAGAGAGAGAAAGGGUAAAAAGAUUAACCAGGGCUAUUUUAGUCAUUUUGGUCGAGAUUGAUGUCAUUUUGAAAGUUUAGGUAUGAAACUGAUUAAAAAAAAAGAUGAGGUAUCAAACUGAUUUUAGUACCUAAAGUUCAGGGUAGUAAACUGAAUUUUUUCCUUUAUAUUUGAUCCAUGCAAUUCAAGGUUCAACAGUUUAGUUUAGUUUUGUUUUUUUUUGUUUUGUUUUUUUCAGGUUAUGAAUAUUUGAGCUUUAUAUAAGGGGUUCAAACCACCAGGUGAGUCACCUCUGACACCUCUGUUCCAUUAUUUUUGUUUCUUACAUAAGUUGCUGGAAUUGAGGCACAGAGAAUGCUUUUGAGUAACACUUUAAUGGCCAGCAGUUGUUUACUGAGCUCUCAUCUGUGAUAAUUCUAUCAUUAUUUAUUUUCCUGUUCUAAUAUCACCAAGACGAUACCGCAGUGAUGACAAUAAUUGCUUACAUUACGUCUUAAUUGAUGAAAAGGUAACUCAUUGAUACACAAAUGACAAACAACUCAACAUUGAUUUACAAACUUACUUCUCUUUGGUUUCUCUGUUCAUCUGAAAUUUCAUUGAAUUCUAUUUUUCUGCACAUAAAUAAGCAUUGCAUAUGUAAACUACCUGAUUCGCAGCUUCGUUCAGUUAUUUAGCCUUCUAUAAUUACUCCAUGUCCAUAUGUGACUCUCAGUUUUGGCAGGUGAAUGCUUAUGAGGCCAAUCGAUGUGUAUUAAGGUACUCCAAUCGAUGUGUAUUGAGGAAAUGCAAACAGAUAUAAAUUAGGUGUUAACUAAAUUGGAGGCCACAAAUUCAUAAAUUCAUAAAUUUCAUAUCAAUAUCACAAUUGUCUUCAUCGUUUUCCAUAAUCCAAUGACAUCUUCUCUUAGAUAUUUAGUUGUGAGAAAGACAUAAUGUUUAAUUACGAUGGCAUUGGGGUGAGAUUUUGUGAAGGUUUAGAAUAUCAUGCUUUUACUGUUUUGUAUUUUCUUUUCCUGCUAUGAUCACUUGCUAUUUUUUUAAUAUCUUAUUGUUUAUAUACUGUUUCUUACAGCAUGAGUGAUACCAUAAAGACAUUACCCGACUCUGAGGGAUGGCUUUAUCACGGUAAAUAAAAUGUCACUAAAAUGUUGUGAAGUACGUUCUUUGUUAGAGUUGAGGACGACUGUAGUUUGGGGAACUUUUAUAGAUACAUAAUGCCUAUUAAAUUGUAUUUCCAUGUUUCAUGAGCUUCAUGGCUUAGUCCCAGUUUACAAAUUGAUAAAAGCCCUCCCAAACUAUGUUCCUUGCCUAUAGUAGUUUGGUAUUUGUAGCCAAAAUUAAGCUUGGUUGUUGAUGACAUUUUUAAUCUAUCUGGGUUUGUAUUGUGUACUGAAAUAGGGGUUCAUGGAAAAUUUCUGUUGUUUUGCUUCUUAAUUUAGUACUCUAAAAUAAUCAAAGGGUCUUUGGUUCCUCUCCUUCAAAGGAGAACAGCUUGAGCAGAAUAAUUAAUGCUUAGUAUCAUGAAAGUUUUAUUUAAUCUUAAGAGAAUUGUAAUCACUUCUUUUUACUUUGCUUGCAAUAAAACAGGGAACACUUCCAGGUCAUAUUUUGUUUGACGAUAUUGACUUUUACCCAGAUGCAAAACCUGAUUCACUUUAUUUCUUUUCUGUAAGCGUUUACUUUUCAAUCAGUUUACUUUGGACUUGGCUCAGCUAACCUUUCACUUGAUUAUCUAAAUAUUCUUUUAUAUAUUUUAGGUACCAGAUAAGUAGAUCUUCCGUUUUGGUGACAUGAUCAUAAUAAGACAUACUAUCUUGCUUCUGUUUUUAUGUUGUAUGGGAUUACUUUCUGUCUGAAUUUAACAUGCCCACUAUCCUCCAUGUCUUGGUCAUGUUCUUAAUGUCCGUAGUUUUGUCUUUUUUUUGUCUCAAAGGAAGAACUCAUUAUUACUUUACAAAUUUGUUCCUGAAUUAAAGGUUAUAACUGAAGUGGAACUUGAUUCGAAAAUUCUUUAGUAGAUUUAUUUUAUGUUGAUAUGAAUCUACUAUUUUUGAUAAACAAUGUGUUGUGCUGCUGUAUAUUAUAUGCUUAAAUAACAUAUGCUUAAGGAACUUCGUAGUUAGUUGAAACAUUGGGGCAGUACACCUAUAACUAUAAAAUGUUACUAUCGAUUUCAAGUUUAAUGACUAAAAUGACGUUUCCUCGUAUAGGCAAAAGUAUGCUAAAGUCCCGCUGCAACACGCGGGUAACUUUCUAGUAAUAUUAAAAACGGUGAAUGGUCAACCAACUUGGGGGAGGAGAAAUUUAAUCAGGUCUACAACAUCCUAUCUGUUGCUUGUGUCUCAUGUAGUCGUUGGAGUAAAACAUUGUGCAUUAUGUUGGCCAAAAGAGCUAACUUGUGCAGGCUUAUGCAUUAAGCCAUUAACAUUGCCACAAAAAAGGCUUAUGUAAUAGUUAUGUUUUGCACAAAUGGCAUGACGAUGAGCAAUAGGUCUUUUGUUGAAAUGGAAUGGAUGGUGAAGUAUGAGAAAAUCCUACCGCCUUCGGUACACAUAGUUACUCGAAAGAGUCCUGGAAUUCUCUUGAAAAUUAUUAUUUACAUAAAAGAAAGAGAGAGUACGAAAAAACUACAUGAUAGCAUCUCAAAUUGAAAAAAAAAAAAAAAAAAACCAACCAUAGGGCAUAGGGAAUCACAAAGAAGCCAAGAGCAACAAUUUCUGUUCAAAACAAAGUAUACUGUUGAAACUUGAAAGUGUCCGCAAAUUCAUACCGGGACAGAUAUCGCGCUUUAGCAUCUGAUUUGGUCAACAAGACUGAUUUCUACACCAUGGAAUUAGUGUUUUUCCUCUAGACUUUCCAAUGAUGCAUAGUGAUGCUACAUAUCUUAUCGACAACACUAGGUCCUUAAGCAUCAGCAAUUGUGUGACCAGCCAUUUCACUUAAUCUGCAGUGCAGUUGGCAAAAGUCACAUUACAAGCAAUGUCGAUUGAAUCCAAAACAUAAAGCAGACAAUCUUACGGAAUAUUGAAAAAAGCUCCUUUUCAUUUUCAAGGAACAUAACUGGAUUGGAUCUGAUGCUGAAAAAUUGAAAUACAGCACAUGUAUAGGUUAUCCAUACAAAUUCAUUACGUUUUUUUUUUGUUUUUUUUGUUUUUUCCGAUUGAUACAAAUUUUAUACGUUCUACAUUUUGAAAAACACAAACAAACAUAUAGCAGCUGUAGGAGGCUUGGUAGGCGUUUUCUUGAAUUCCUUAAUUUUUUUUUUUUUUUUUUGUAAAUAUGAAUUCCUAAUCUUUAUCACAAAAGAAAAGAAAAAAAUAAGUUCUGAACCAUAUACAAAAAUAGGAAUAUGGUGAAGAAUUUGAAGGACUCUAACCCAACGAAAAUUUAUAAGCCAGUGUACGGGCUAGAGUUGUUUAUAAAAGUAAAAUUUAGAGUCUCCGCAACAAAAGAAAAAGUUACCUGCUUCGGUUGUAUUUGUAUGGCACAGUGCCUGGGAUAGUUCCAUACACACUUCAUUUGGUGGCAUUACCAGAUGCAUCCCGCAGCUUUUCAUGGGACCCACGUAAGUUUGACAAAUAGUAACUCGACAUUGAAAAGGUGGCACCGGACGCGUAUAACCAAACGCCGGAUACACAUCCAUUCCAUCAAAAGGAAUAUAAAACAGCAACACAGCAGUAUCACCAUCAAACUGGGGAUAAUGACUAAAACCACCAAUCUUCACUCGUACUUCGUUGAAAAAUAUUUCAAAUUUCCCGUUUAGCGUGUUUUCAGAAACGACACAUAGAGCCAAUCCUGUGUUCUGCCAUUUGAAAUUAGCAAGGACUUGAAUAUGAAAUUCACUCCGUCCAUUCCCUCUAAAAUCCAUUGGGUAGCUGAACCACUUUGAAAUUUCACGACUUCCUGGUAAUCUGACUCUGAAAGCAGACUUCUGAGGAGAGAGAAAAAGAGAAAAGAGAUCAGUCUCCACUUGAUGAUCAUCAUUCACUAAUAAACCAUUCUUGCCUGCCUCCCGAACCAGAUUGUCACACAGUCUCCAGCAAUUUGUCAAGUCCAACCACAAAAACAUUUGCGAUUCUUGACAUUUCAAAAUGUUUGAUAACUUUGAAAUUCUUUCCAACAAUACGCAAUCUCUAACACAUAAAUGUUGCAGAUUUGGUGGAAGCUCCGUAACUUCUUGAAGCAUCUUGCACCCAUCCAAGAAAAGGUACUCCAAAUUGAUAAAUUUGGUAAGGCCAGUGGGAAGACUAACAAAAUUGCUGUUUGAGAGAUCAAGCCUGUAUAAGGCGGACGCACAAAACUUCACAAGGAAAUCACAGUCUGAAAUAUUGCAUCCUCUUCUACUAAACAUCUUUAGGGAAGGAAACACAAAAUUGCCUCGAUCAUCGUCAUUUUCUGACGAAAUUUGCUUGCCGUAAUGUGAAAUGUUUGAGUUGGACGCUUCACCGUAUUCCACCUUAUUAGAAACUGGAGUAAGCUCCAGUUUUGGGCAACUUGUGAGUUCAAGGAUUAAUAGCUUUUGCAACUCAUUAAUGCCGAGUGGUAGAGACUUCAGGUUUUCACAAUGUUCUAAAUACAACCCGGAAAGAUUAAAGAGAUGAUAUCCAAUUGAUGAAGGCAGUUCUUUGAUGGCAGUUCCAGAUAAAUCCAUGCUGUAUACGGAUUCCAUCCUUCCCACAAUUUCUGGGAAGUUCUCCAGCCUCUUGCAGCCUCUAAAAUCAAUACUAACAAGAGAUUUCAUGUUGACCAUUCUUGGAAACGUCUUAAGGUUACAGCAAUCGGUAAGAUUGAAGGAUACAAGCUUAUCAAGGAAUCCAACAGAAGGAUGCAACUCAGCUAAACUUGUACAAGAAUUUAAGUUCAGCCUCUUCAAGUUUGGGAACAUUCCAGACAAGUCAGGGACCUUUGUUAGGAAUUUGCAACUCUCAAAACUUAAAGAUUUCAAGUUUUGCAUAUUCUGCAACACAAGAAAGGAAAACAAUCAUAUGAUGAGCUUCAAAACAACCUUAUAACUGUUCAAAAUAUUCGUCAAAACAACAAAUGGAAAGUUAAUAGCUUAGAAUACCUUGAGUCCUUGCCCAAGUUGUGAGAUGCGACUGUUUGGCAUAUUCAACCUGACAAGUUUUUGGGGAUUGAAGUCGGAUGGCAAAGAUUGUGCUGGGAAACCAGGCCAAUCAAGGAACCUAAACUGAUUUGGAAGAUAAAUAAUCUCUCCAGAAAAGCGUGCAUUGAUGUUUAUAAAAAGUUGUAGAUUUUUCAUCUUUUUAAAGCAUUUAGCACUCAAGCAUAUCUCAUCUUCCCUUGGUAGCUCAACUCUGAUUCCUUUGACUUCUUUUGAGCCCUGAUAUGAUAAAAGAUAAAGGAUUAGCAUAGCAAAGUACUAUAUACAGAAUUUAUUUUCAAAAUUAGGAAGUUCUUGAGACACACACUCAAACACAAACACAAACACAUAGAAGGAAAUAUACAUGUUCUAUACUUACUGUAUUUUCGGUUAAAACACGAUAAACAUCCUCAUGAAACCAUAUUCUGCUACGUCUGCCAGCAUCAUUGGGUGACUCUUUCCGAACUAUUUCUUUUCCCAUUUCCUCCAGCAAGUCAUGCAUACACAUCAGACGAUUUAUAUUAAUAUUUAUGAGGGCCUUUUCUUCAAGUAGUUCAAGAGCAUGUUCAGGGUUGAGGUAAGAACCUUCUAGUGCUUGCAUCACAUACUCCUUAUCUUUACCUUUUAAGAAACAUGCGAUGUCGAGAAAUGCUUCAUUCAGUGGAUAUUCCAAUAAAUCGUAACUUGUUUUAAGGACUGUUUGGAUAUCUCUGUUAGGAAAUCUGCUGAAAUAAUCUAUUGUAGCAUGCCAUUGAUUUAUACUCUUACCACACAGAAGUGAGCCUAAAAUGUUUAUAGCUAAUGGAAGGCGGUGAGCAUAGAGUAAAGCAGCAUCAAUUGGGAAUUUCUCAAACUCAUCUGGAUUUCUGUUUCCCUUGAAGGCAUUCAAAGUUAAGAGGUCACGGGCUUCGUCAUUAUCUAAUUCCUCAGCUGGGUAUAUUGCAUAGACUUGAUGAGAAAUUAGUAAACCUUUAUCUCUUGUUGUUAUGAUAAUUCUGCUGCCAGGACCAAACCAAUCCAAUCCUCCAGCUAAUUUGUCCAACUGGUUCAAUUCAUUCACAUCAUCAAGAACUAAGAAAACCCUUUUACUACCCAAUCUGUCCUUUAUCACCUGGAUUCCUCUAUCAGCAUCAGUCAUCUCCAUUUUCUGCCCCCCUAAGAUCUCAUUAAGAAGAUUAUUUUGUAAUUGAACAAGGCCUUGAUGGGGUACUGAAGCUGCUCUAACAUUUGCCAAGAAACACCAACCUUCAAACUUAUGGCGGAAUGAGUUGAAUAAUUCUUUAGCAAUUGUUGUUUUGCCUAUUCCUCCAAUACCCCAUAUACCAACUAUGCGAACAUCACUUCCUCCGACAUCUAAAAGCUCAAGCAGAUCUUGUACACGAGACUCUAUUCCAACAGGAUACUUUGCCACAUUUAAGCAACUACGUUUUGAUACUUGUGCUGAAAUCUCUUCGGCAAUCUUACUGGUGAAGUUAGGUUCAUGCCUUCUAAUUUAAAUGCAAAGGGUUUUUUAUCAGAUGAAACUCGCAAUGGUUACUUUGAUCAUCAACGAAGCCAUUAAAAAUUGAAAAGAAAGAAUGCUGGAAUAUGGAAAUAUACAUACCCGUCGAAGAAAGUCCACCCUGAGAAGUUUGCUGCUUCCUUGAGAGCUCUUCUCCAUCUUUGGACCUUGUCCAUGUUGUCCUUGAAUAUGCGCUCAUGUUUAGCAAGUGCCUCACCAUAUUUACCCUUCUGGUACCGUAUAUCGGAGGGAUCCACCUUGUAAAACACCGGCCAAACCAGUUGUUGAUUCAGCUCCUUACAUUUAAGGAUCUCAACAAGUUCAUCCAAACACCACCAUGAGGAUGCGUAGUUUUCAGAGAAGAUGAGUAUAGAAAUCUUUGACUCUUGAAUUGCUUUGAGAAGUGAAGAUGAUAUUUCUUCUCCUUUUCUAAGCUCUUCAUCAUCGAUGAAGGUAUUGAUUCCCUUCUGAACCAAAUAAGUGUACAAAUAGCCAGUGAAGUUUUUUCGAGUAUCCACACCUCGAAAACUCAGAAAGACAUCGUACGGACAUGAAUGGGUGAGGGGAGAAGAUGAAGGAGUACUUGAAUCCCUUUUCAGCUCCUCGUCGGCCUGGACCAGCGGCGACAAAGGUUGCAUUUCCUCCAAGCUCUUGGGCCGGUGGUGCUUAUCAGACGACACAAAACGCCCAUAAAGCACAUGGUAAGUGGCCACGAGCAGAGCCAAGAGUGAGAAGAAGGUGGCAAGAGAUAGGUCCGUGUAGGCCACGAUCGCCUCCUUCAGUGUUUCCCAGAGUUGCAGAGUCAUUUUUAGAGUGAGAGAGAUCUCUUUGACACGGAUUUGGAUAUUCAAGUAGCUAUGUUCAAGAUUUUAAUACCAAAAAACUUGGACCAGAGCACUAUUAUGAGUCAUCGAAGUCAUGUACAGAAUAUGAGCAUCAUCGAAGUCAUGUACAAUUGAAGUCAUGUACAGAAUAUUCCCGAAAGCUUCAGUGGGGGCUACGUUCUGAAAAUAUUGGCAUAUUUCCUCUCUUUAGCCAGUAUAAUCUUGGACCAGAGCAGUAUUAUUGAGAGUCAUCGAAGUCAUGUACAGAAUAUUCUCGACAGCUUCAGUGGGGGCUACGUUAUGAAAAUAUUGACAUAUUUCCUCUCUUUAGUCGAUACGAAAGUUCUUCAGUGCACCAAGGUUCAAGUGAACCAAUAGUCACUGACCAAUCACAAUCAUUCAUUUAAUGCAAUUAAUUACAUGACACUAACACCGACGCUAACACCAUUAGAUAAUUGAAGAAAAAAAAAAAAUUCAAUCAACAUGGUAAGGCUACAAUAAAUAUUACAUGGGCAAUUAAUUCAAAUAUCAAUGGGAGAGGUUAUCGAUGUUUGAUUUUUAUUAUUUUUUAUACUGACUAAUCACAAUCAUUCAUUUAAUGCAAUUAAUUACAUGACACUGACACCGACGCUAACACCAUUAGAUAAUUGAGACAAAAAAAAAUUCAAUCAACAUGGUAAAAAUAGGUAAGGCUAUAAUAAAUAUUACAUGGGCAAUUAUCGAUGUUUGACUUUUAUUAUUUUUUAUUUAUUUGUUUUUGUUUUUUUUUGUUUGGAUACACAAUUAAGUCUUUUUAGUAAGAUUUUCUAUUUCCUUUUUAGUUUCCGGAAACGCAAAGAGAGAUUAUUAUUAUUUUUUUAUUGUUAUGUUUAAAACAUAAUAACUAUAGAGUUUACCUAUUUACUGAUUUGACUAAUUAAUGUGGAUCUCUUAUUGCUCGUAGAUGUGUAAAAUCUGUUAUUUGGAUUAGGAUUAGGUAUGAUAUCUAUUUAUUAUUUUUUAUAAGGUUUGUUUUAAUCAUAAAUAAUUUAUUUAAUUAAUAUAUAAAUAAUUUAUAUAUCCCACCAUACUACGUACCCUCAGACAGCGAAUAUGUACCGCAAUGUUUCACAUUUUAGGUAACAUUGGUCGAACUAUCAAUAAUUAAAAUGAAGUAGGAACGUUUUGGGAUGAUGGCCAUAUAUCAACCUUAUGACGUGUGUCAUGUAAGUUUGAACCAUCAAUAAGCUUCUAUAUAUUAUUGAUUCGUUUUAACUAGAUUCUUUCUUUUAGUGUUCGUUUAUUUCGUCAAUGAACUUCAAAAUAAGUUAAAGGGAAUAAAAAAAACCUACGCUAGUCAAGUAUGCCAAUUUGUGAACACAUUUAGUUUGUUAACGUCAACCAUGUCGAUGGGAUAAAAAUAAAUUAAUAUGUGAGCAUGAAAAAGAAUUUCAAGCUGAGUAAAGACUGUCCAAAAAUUAAUUUAUAAUCUUGAUAAUUAGAAUAGUUCUCGGGAGUGAUUUUUCAAAAAAAAGAAAAAAAAAAGAAAAAAGAGUAGAGUCCUUAAUUUAAGUAGUUUGUAGUACAGGACAUCACUAAGUUUGUGGAUAUUUUCGGAUAAUUUUUUAGAUACCGAGUUAAUUUAGUGGAUUUUUUUAAAUUUCUACAUUAAAUAAAUAAUUUAAGAAAAUAAAAAAAAUACUUGUCUGAUCUGGACUGUUUAAUUUCUUCAGGCUUAAUCUAUGUCUUUUAGAUUAGGUAUACAUAUAGGUAAAAUAUGAUCAGCUACACCAGGUAUACACACCUUCUACCCAGAUCUCUCCUCCAUCGAUCCUAGGUUGCAUGGAAACAGAAGCGGGGACAUGGUGGAAGCGUUCAGAAGCGCCGAAGCAUUUUUUCAGAUCUUUUUUGGAAAUGGGGAUGUUUCGGAAGCGUCAGAAUAAAGUAAUAUAUAUAUAUAUAAACAAAUAAAUAUUAAAUAUGUGUAUAAUAAUUUUAAUUAAUUUUAUUCCAGACUUUCACAUCAAAGAAUUCUAAGUUUUUACUUAGAUAAUUACUAAAUAAGAAUUUAAAUUUUCAAAAAAAAUAAAAAUAAGAGGAUAAACCUAGACACCAAAAGGUAAAACGAAGGGAUAGGCAAUGAUAUUGGUGAUAAAGCAAAACCAACCAUAUGUCAAAUAUACUCAGUUUUUCAAGAACAGCAGCAGAACAUGAUUGGGGUCAUCGCCGGGAAUCAACUCAACCUCAAAACUCCACCGUCCAAUCGAUAUAAACUUCAAAACAUUCAAUCUGCUUCCUCAUCUCCUUCUCUGCUUCGAGUUUGGAUCUCUGCAAUCUAAAACCCCAACUUUGCUUCCUCCUCUCUCUCUCUCUCCACGUACACCUCGUCGGCCCCUGCUUCCCAUCCAUGGCGACUCUCCUCUCCGCCUCUGGGACCUCCGAUCCCUUAUCACCCCGCCGACGCCGUCGAUUCUUACCGAUUAGCCAUUUCGAUGUCACUCACUCACUCACCUCGAUUCUUACCGAUUGCCUCCGAUCCGAGCUAGCCAAAAACCUCCAGUCAUGGUCGCGUCGGUCGUCCUCGUCGUCUUCUCUCCAGCCAGUAGGGUUAUAAUAAGAUAGGUGAUUGUAGUUUUACACUUUUACUGCGUUCCCUUUUUUUUUUUGAAGUCUGCUAACUUAACAUGCUUUUGGAUUUGGGAAGAUUGACCAAAAGAAAAAGGACCUUAUUAUCCCUUUAUCUCAUUUGUAUCGGAAAUAAAUAAAAAAAACUUUCAGGUGGUGAUCAGAUAAGUAAAGAUGUACCGAACUUUUAGUUUAGUUAGGAUUUCAAUUUCUCAUUAUCAGACCUUGAUUUUUAGCACGAUGCCACUUGCAGUUUGCUGGCAGCUGCAAGGAAACUUUCAUGGGUGAUUGACCGAAGUAAAUAAAUGACUGUCAAUAAUUGAUGCAAAAUAAUUUGUUAUGAUACAUUGAUACUGCAAGGAAACUUCAAAAAGAUCUUUGUAAAAUGCAAGUGGUGUCCUCCUACUCAUUCUAAUACCAAUAACUUGACCGGGUAGCGAGAGAGAAGGUGUGGAUUACGUAUAAUAUCCAUUUUCCCAAGUAACAAGAAAAGACUAUCGGUUGAGGUAUAUUCCAUUGCAAAAAUAUGAGUGAGUAGAGGAAGUUAUGUGAAAAUAAGUAAGAGCAUCUCCGACAGUUUAUUUAAAAUUUCUUUAAAAUGAGAAAACAAAAGCUAAAAUCCAUUACGAGGCGCUCGUGAUUCCAAUUGCUGUGUUCAGCGAUCCCGAUUUGAGAGGGACAUGUCUUUGCCUAGCGCCCUGAGUGGGGAUUUGUGUGCAAAAUUCACAAGGAGCAGAUGGAGAAUUAGCAGGAGGAGAUCAGAGCGAAGGUGGAAGUUGUUGGACUUGUUUGAAACGUGAUCUUUGAUUCUUUGGUGUUGGUGUUGGUGUUGGUGUGAAGAUCCACGUAAUCAAGACAUAAUCAUCUCAAUAUAAACUGAUCUUUAUAUAGAAAAAAAUUAAAAAAUAAAUAAAUACAGUUUUCUUAUUAUUUUAUCUAUUAAUUUACUUCUUUGUCCUUCAUGAGCUAUGUGGUUGAUCUAGUGUAUCAAUAAAGGAUAUUUGGUACCUAAAUUUAUGGUAUGGGUUUCGAUUUAUUAUGUUUCUAUAAUCUUAUGUUAUUAAUUUGUUUUAAUUAAAAUUAGCUAAUAUAUCCUAACGUACCAUGUAUCUUAAAGUAUUGGGAAUUUGGGAUUCAAAAUUGCAAAUGCAAACAAGAUGUUACUUGAUCAUCAGUAAAGCCUACUGACAGUGUAGCAACACAACAUUUGAAACUGUAUCUGUUAGUGACAUUGCAUCUGUUACUUGUGCUUGACAUUUAAAUAUGAGUACCUUUCUAUUCUUUUAUCUCUUUAGUUUGGAGGAGUACCGGGCUUUUGAGAUUCUCGUGUUUAUGGGAGGGUUGAUGCUAAAGUCGACAAGAACCACUUCAGUACUUGUAAUGUGGUCAGCUUCAAUAACAUUUUUGCAAGUUUUUAUUUGCUCCAGCAUGUUAUUCUGUCUAACUCAUAUAACUACCUUUUUAUUAUAUGUCAAUGUGAACACACAAGAAAUUGGUUACAUAUGGCUUGUGUCACAUCCCGACCCUUAUAUUUUUACCUUAUUUACUAGCGUGAUUAUAAUAAAAAUUUUACCGUCUCGAUCAUUGAGUAAAUAGUUUAAUUGGUCCCUAGAGGGGUUUCGGGGACGAUUAUGUGCGGAGGAUUAUUCGUAUGAGGAAAAUACGACGACGGUAAAAAUAGUAAAUUUUAGCUAGUAAAAGGUAAUUUUUAUUCGGGUAUUAUUUUUCGGGGUGUUGAAUUUUGGAAUUAUGGGUUAAAAGGGGUGUUGGGUCGGCUGGGCCGAGCCCAACCCAUUUCUUCUUCUUUCUCUUCUCCCUCCCUCCCGAUUUUUCUUCUCCUCCCACCCGAUUUUCUUCUCUCUACACCCAGCAGACUUCCGGCCGUCCUCCCGCCGCCGUCCGACCUCCGUUCGCCACCGGACCGGUCCCGUUCGGUCGGUCUCCCUCCCAGCUUCCAUUCUAGGCCGGUAGCAGCCCCCCUAGCGCCGCCGUGAGUGAGCGGUAACGCCCGUAAGGUCCGACUGUCCAAACCUUCCCUUCGCCGGAACUUCCUCCUCCGGCCACCAAUCCGGGCAAGCUUGGUAUGGUUUUGUAGCCCUCCAACCCAGCAACCUUGCCCUAAAAGGACUCACUCCCUCUUGAGCUAGGUAAGGAGAAAUUUGAGGUGGAAGUUUUAUGGUGUUUUUGAUGUUUUUAGUCGAUUGCCCUAGUUAGGCUUGGAAUUGGUGUUUGUGCUAGUUAUGAAAGUUGUAGAGGAGAUUGAGAAGAAGAUUCUGUUAAAAUUUGGUAGCUUUUGCAGGUUGCCGGAGUUGGUCGCCGGCCGCCGCUGCCGGCGGAGCCGCCGCUGUUUUGGGAAAUUUUAUGGUUUUUGAUGUAGAAUAUUAAGGGGAUAUUAUUGAAGUGAAUUAUGGAAUUUUUGGAUGAGAUUUGGAUAGGUUUGUGAAUUUCCAAAGUUUGGUAUUUUUGGCGGUUAAUUAAUAUAGAAUCCGGCCGUUGGAUUUAAGUCGUAUUUUGGAGAGGUUGUAUUUACGACUGUGGAGUAUGAUAUUUAAGUUCGGAUCGUCCGAUGUAAGAAUAUCGAAGUUAGGCAAUAAUGAGCGUAAUUAUGGCUCUCGGGUAAUUUUGCCUAUUUUGAUUAAAUAUUGGAUAUUGGUUGGGAAAUUAAUAUUAUAUUUGGAACAGGACGUGAAGAGGCUCGAGCAGACGAGACCCCAGAUUGACAUCAGGCUUAGGCCUAAUUNNNN
rnacentral:lncRNA from 1 species